UGGGGAAUAUUGCACAAUGGGGGAAACCCUGAUGCAGCGACGCCGCGUGAAGGAAGAAGUAUUUCGGUAUGUAAACUUCUAUCAGCAGGGAAGAAAAAAGGACGGUACCUGACUAAGAAGUCCCGGCUAACUACGUGCCAGCAGCCGCGGUAAUACGUAGGGGGCAAGCGUUAUCCGGAUUUACUGGGUGUAAAGGGAGCGUAGGCGGCAAGGCAAGCCGGAUGUGAAAUACCGGGGCUCAACCCCGGGACUGCAUAAGGAACUGCCAGGCUAGAGUGUUGGAGAGGUAAGCGGAAUUCCUAGUGUAGCGGUGAAAUGCGUAGAUAUUAGGAGGAACACCAGUGGCGAAGGCGGCUUACUGGACAAUAACUGACGCUGAGGCUCGAAAGCGUGGGGAGCAAACAGG
rnacentral:rRNA from 1 species